ACGAAGAAGGAAAGAAGAUGAAAUCUUAGAAUUUUUCAAGAAAAAGUUUUUACUAAAAUUUAUUUAAAACAUUAUUUUUUCAAUAAAAGACUAUUUAAGAAAAGGCUAUGUGUUAGAUUUGUAUCUAUAAUCUACUUUAUGAGUAUUGAAUGUCAAAGAUUAUAUUCACAAUCGCUUCAAACAUUGCCACUCCUUUAUCUCUUCAUAAAGCAACCAACACAAAAAUAUUGGUGCAUGACACAAUAGUUGAGAGAUCCCAUUCUAGUUGAAUGUGAAGGAUGUGCAUUUUUUGUUUGCAUUGAUUAUGAAAAGCUUCUACUAUUUUGUGAAUCAUGUAAGACUAUAGGACAUUCCAUAGAUAACUGCUGAAAAAAAAUUUAAUGGUCAUGGAAUAACUCAAUUUGUUGAAGAUGUUGCACUUGUAAAUAAGUUGGCAAAAAAAUAUAUGUCUCUAAAACAUUGUUGCUCCAGACAAUGUGGUACUUGAAAGUACAAACAAAUAAAGUCAGUACUCAUCGUGUUGUUAAUUCUUCUUUUGUUGAUCACAUCCCUAGCAUUGAACUAGGAGACACCAAUUAUUCAAGAAGUUUCUCCCUUCGAUCUAGAAAUAAUUGACAAAAAUCAUGAUGAAGCAUCUGACUCAAUCAGUUGAGGAAGUGGUAGCAUAUUCACUCCCUUCAAAAGAAGAUGAUGUCGAGUUACAUCAGGAAACAAAUGUAAUUCACGAGAUCUUUGGAUCCAAUUUAUCUAAUUCAGAUGACACGUAACAAUAAAGAGAAAAUCUUCAUUAUCCAAAUAUGUGUAUUAGAGGAUAUAGGAAUAAUGCAAUGUUAGAGGAUAACGUCCAAAAUCAUCAUAUUCAUUCUGAUUUUGAAGCAAAUUUACAUUCAAGUAAUUUGGUGGAUGAUAAAAGAUAUCUAAAUGUGAUUAUCACUAACGAUGAUAUAUAUCCCAAAAUUACUCAUAAUUUAAAAGUUUUUCUACUGAUCUGUAGAGAUGCUAAUAAUUUAUUGUUCUACUACUCGGAGAAAGUCUUUUACAUAUAAUUACUCUACUCUCAAUGAAGAGUCUUUCAUAGAGAUUAUUUCUAAGACACACAAAAAUAUCC
rnacentral:lncRNA from 1 species